rnacentral:lncRNA from 1 species
AGACAUCCACCUGAGUCAUUAUCUUCACAUCAUCAGCACCCAUCUACUUGAUCAUUUCCAUAGUUUACUUUAUGUAUUUUCUUUAUGCACUUUCUUAUUAUAGUAGCACUUACAAUCCCAUGCUUUUGUUAUGAUAUAUAUUGGGAUUGGUUGUAUUACUUGUUAUCAUCUUUAAUGUACUUGCAUGAAGUAAUACAACUCUAUCAUUUUUUGCAUACUCUUGGUAUUAUUUUAUUUUUAUUCCUCUACUCAUAUCUAUUUUCUUUUUGAAACAUGUGGUUUCUCCUUAUCUACUCAAAUUACAUCCACUCAGGAGGCACCACUUCCUCCCUGUAAUUUCAAUCGCUCAUACCACAUUGAGGACAAUGCUCAGCUUGGUUGGGGGGAGACAGUUGAGGAAGGAAGUUUUUUUUAUUAUUAUUAGUGUUAAUACUAAAUUUUUUGGUAAUUUAGGUUACUUUUGUUUAAUUUUAAAAAUUUUUCUCUAUGGUUGUUAAAGAUAAUUUCUCAAAAAUAAAAUAGGAUAAGUCGAGUUUUAACUUAAUUAUUUAAGUCUUUGAGUUUGUUUUAUGCUUUCAAAGUUGAUAAUCUAUUAAAACUCUCUUUGUUUUCGAACUUAUUUCUUCCAUUUCAAGCUUUACACACACAGUGCACAUUAGAUCCCGGGUAUAUGAUGUAAAACUUUCUCACUUUCUAAGCUUAGGAAAAUUUUGACUUGGUUCAUUACUUAACCUCUUUUUUAAUAGUGUUGGGACACCUCAAAAAGACCAAUGAGUCUUAGAAAAAGAAAAAGAGAAAAAGAAAAAGACCAAUGAGUCUUAGAAAAAGAAAAAGAGAAAAAGAAAAAGAAAAAGAGAAUAAGCUUCUAUUCUUUCCUUGAAACCUAAGCAUGAUCCGAAGGGGUGGCGAAAGCCUUUAAAACCCGAUGCCCUAAACCUUGAUUGGUUGGGAGUCAUCGAUCCUCUGCUUGCUACAUAGGUGAAUUGGUUAAAGUUUAGUGAGUAAAAAGAAUUGUGAAUAAGAAGGUGCGUUCCUAACCUAUUAAGAGUUGGUUAAUUUUGCCUUUGUUCGAGAAAAGCUUAGGUUGGAGGGUGAGGAUAGUUGUAUAUACUAUAUCCGGAGCCUAAUCUCGUUAACACUUAGCUCAUUAUGGAA